UACAGAGGGUGCAAGCGUUAAUCGGAAUUACUGGGCGUAAAGCGUGCGUAGUCGGUUAUCUAAGUCGGGUGUGAAAUCCCCGGGCUCAACCUGGGAAUUGCAUUCGAUACUGGAUAGCUAGAGUUCGGCAGAGGGAAGCGGAAUUUCGGGUGUAGCGGUGAAAUGCGUAGAUAUCGGGAGGAACAUCAGUGGCGAAGGCGGCCUUCUGGUCCAGUACUGACACUCAAGUGCGAAAGCGUGGGGAGCAAACAGG
rnacentral:rRNA from 1 species